UGCGUAGGCGGGCUAAUAAGUCAGUGGUGAAAUCUUUCGGCUCAACCGAGAAACUGCCAUUGAUACUGUUAGUCUUGAGUUCGGUUGAGGUAGGCGGAAUGUGUAAUGUAGCGGUGAAAUGCUUAGAUAUUACACAGAACACCAAUUGCGUAGGCGGCUUACUAGACCGACACUGACGCUGAGGCACGAAAGCGUGGGGAGCGAACAGGAUUAGAUACCCUGGUAGUCC
rnacentral:rRNA from 1 species